UCUCUCUCUCUCUCUCUCUCUCUAUCUAUCGAGGGUAUUCAGUACCCUUUCUGUUCUUUUUCUGUUUACGUUUCUUUAUCGGAGUGUUUCUCUCUCUAGAUCUAGGGUUUCCUCGUGUGCUUAUUCUUUUCGUGUAUGGUUUUGUGUUUCUCUCUAGGAUUUUGCCCUUUAUUUUGGUACAUUCCUUAAUUUUUAGGGUUUUACUGUCGUGUAGCCUGUACCCUUCUUCAUUUCCAAAAUUCAUAAAAAUAAGUAAAAAUACUUGUUCUCUUCUAGGGUUUUAAAAAUCAUCUGCUUGUAAUUAGGGGUCUUCUUGUUCACUUUGAGUUUCAUCUGCUUGUAAUUAGGGGUCUUCUUUUUUACUUUGAGUUUCAUCUGCUUGUAAUUAGGGGUCUUCUUGUUCACUUUAAGUUUCAUCUGCUUGUAAUUAGCGGUCUUCUUGUUCACUUUGAGUUUCAUUUGCUUGUCCUUCAAAAUUUGCCAUUUCCAUGGCUACUGUGCUUGACGCUGUUCCAAUUGUGCGCUCUUCUGGUUUUAGACGUGAAUUUUCAGCUAGUAAUUCGUUGCUCAUUGGCUUUACAAGAGUGGAGAGGAGGGUUUCUUUGCCAAAAUGCAAGGGUUUGAGGGUUGAAAGUCAAUCGACAAAGUCUUCACUUCUAAAAGUUCCAAGGACUAUGAGGAUUUGCAGAGGAAUUGUAUCUGAAGCUCAGAAUACGGCGACUGAAGGUGCUCUAGUCUCUUAUUUUAUUUUAUUUUAUUUUAUAAUUUUGUGUUUCUUCUACUAUGUUAAUUGUUGAUAGCUUGUUCAGUGGAUAAUUUAUGCUACUGUUUUGGUUUUUUAUUUAUUUUUUUGCAUUUUUUGUCAAUUGUUUGGUGGGUUGAUAAUUUCUCUGUGAAACUAUGUUUAUGCUUUUUUGAGUUUCUAUAUUGCAUAUAGUGGCGGAGUAUGAGAUGUUGUGCAAUUCAUGGAAAACUCGGAGCUUUCUUUUAACUGUGUUGUGCUCGAGAUUGGGACCUGAUUUGGACAAAAUUGAGAAAUACAAUUUUCGCAAGGAUUAUGAUUUUUUUAUUAUUGUAUCUUUUGCAGAACUAUUAUUAUGAAGAACUAUUAGUGCAAAUUUUGUAAGAAAUGACAAAUAGCAAGGAUUAUAAAGAACUGCCAUGUCAUUAUGAGAUCGAUACUAUUGGUACGCUUUGAUAGCAGGUGAUUAUGAAGUAAUGCGAUAGUGGCAUAUGACAUUGAUAUAUUUGAAUUAUGUUGGUUGAAAACAUGGUUUUCCUGGUACGAUGACUUCUUCAUUGUCCCCUUCUCCUUUUCAAUAUGAUGAGAAUUAUGCUUAAAUUGUAUGAAAUAUGAAUAAGAGGGUGAUAAUUAUAUAAGUGAAGGUUUAGUUUUUUUUUUUAUCUCUUUUUGAACUUCUUCCAUUUGCUCACUCAUCCAAUGUGCUAAGCCCAGCACAUAGAAAAUUAUCAAAAAGAGUCUAGCACAUAGAGAAUGUUUCGCGCAGAAGAACUUUUCUUCAAAAAAAAAAAAAAAGAAAAGGAAAAAGAAAAAAGAAUGUAAAAUGCCUUCAACAGAUCAUUGGUUUAUAUAGAAUAGAAUAUACUUAUAUAUAACCUAAUGAACUUUCUAUCUAUCAAGUGUAUGGGUGUCCCACCGAUGAAAAACAAGAAUACUUUUGGUUUCCUGCAGGAGGGCCGUAACAGUACCCUCCUAUCUCAUUUCCCCACCAUUUUGGCUGGAAAUUGCAGUGAUCUCCACCAGGCCAGCCAUACGAUUGAUGAGAACACAUUUGCUGUGAUCUAGGUGUUCAUUCGAUAGUAAAAACCUUGAUGUAAAAAACCAUUACUCCUCAUUCAUUUCGGGGGCCAUCUGGUUAUUAUGAUGUUUGUUUCAAAGUUUUACUCAUUAAUCUCCACUGACGAAAUGAAUUGCCAGUGGAGAUGGAAUGGGAGGACACUAAAAUGGUCCUCAUACAGGAGGGCGCAAAAAAAAAAAGUUCUCCCAAGAAAAAGAAAAUAUGCAGCUUUCCUGCAGAAUUGUAUAUGUUCCUUAAAAAGCUUUUCCCUGUUAAAAGAUUCUACUUAAAUUGUGGCACAAAAAGAAAAACUAGAACAAAACCUGUGGCAUCUAAUUCCCUCAAAGAGUGAGGUGUAUUUUAUGUCGUUCUAGCUUGGAAAGCACCCAUGGAAUUUCUUAUUAUGCACCUAAUUGGAGUUGGACCAACAUUCACUGGUGUAGUCUGUGCUUUUGGGACAAACAAAUCACUAUGACACGAGAAUUCGUCAGUGUUGCAUUUAGAUGUGCGAGUACGUAUAAAAUAAAAAACAAGUUGGGGGACUCUUGUUGAUGCACAUAAAAAUAAUUAAUUUCUCCCCUAACAUUAAAGUUGGGGAACUUCUACUGAUGAAAAACCAACAGGUCCUUCUCUGGGAAAGAUUGCAGGUUUCUUCCAUGAGGAGGUAGUAUUUUGAGUUCUUUUUUCUUUUGUAGCUGACAUUUCAUUUUACUGGAAAAAGAGCACAUCAAAUGGCACUCUUUUAAGAAAGACCAUGUUGUACACACAGAAGGUAAAUGAAUUUGUCGAACGAGAGGAGAAAGGGCAAUAGUAGGUGAGGGAGAGGGCAAGGGUCAACAUGUUAGGGGGCAUGCUCCUUCCAGUCAUUGAUGAAUCUUUGCUUGAGCUCCCUUCUCGCGAGAGCAUUUGAGGGCUAUAAUCUCAUCCACUGAAUUGGCAAAUCUCCGAUGAAAGGCAAGAUCACAUUUAGCACGUGAUAGCAUUGAAUGGUCGACCUAGACUAUGAUUGGGCUAGGGAAGAACGGAAUGCUUAUAGUCAAAGCCAUCACCCUUACCUUGGUAGUAUGUACCCUGAGUGAUUUACAGGACCACUUCUUGAGUUCCGUGCUAUCCCUAUCUACAUACUCAAUGCCAUACACUCCAAUUGGGCCCCAAUAGACAACAGGAUGUGGCUUGUGGAAAAUGAGAUUCGUUCCAUGAUGUAAAGUGUUUUUUUUUAAUGGUUAACUGGAUGUAGGGUUACUUGUUGAUAAUCGUAAUGCAGCUAAUGCUUAUUUUUCGUAAGUAUUUCUCAAUGUGUCAUGACAGCUAAAACCAUUUGUAAUGUGAUUUUCUUGCUAGACGAAGAGAUUAAGGUGAUCAUCUGGGGUUGCUUCAACAGGCAGAUGGCCUAUGCAAACCACCAUUCAGGCACUAGGAUUAUUUUUUCAGAAUUUGGUAAAUCAAGAGUCACUAACCAAUUAGAUGGCACGUGUAUGUGUAGAGUGUGAAAAUUUAAUAGACUUGUUUAUUUUGCAUUUUGGGUUUUAACAAAUGAAUUUUGUUGUACUUGAUCUCCAUUAGCAUCUAUAGGUUUCAUGGCUCUCCUUCAUAAUGUUGUGGCUGUGUAAUUUUUGCCGAUGCAUUCUUCGCAAUUAAUACUCUCUAUAUGUGAGACGAUGCUUAAAUGCCAAAUAUGGGCUCUUCUGCUCAAUGAGGUGAGCCAAAAUGUACUUAAUAUGAUUAGUUAAAGAUACAAGUUUUCAUUGGUGAUUGGUGUAUAGGCUAAGUUCAAGAUAUGAUAACAUGACCAAAAGAAGCAGUGCCACUUGGUCAUCUAGAAAUGGGAGGAUGACUACAUAACAUCCUCUAAAAUUAACUCUUCUAUGUGCUUUAAACUAUGGAAAACCUGAAGGAAAACUAGUAAUAGCGCGGAGGCUCAUGUGGUUCUAUUUUUCCUAUUCCUGGAAUCGUAUUUCAUGAAUUUGUGCUGAGGUAGUUUCAGAAAUUCUCCUUUUUCCUUUUUAGGCUUUUGUUUUCAGAAGUUUUGUUGGAUGUUAUUCAGAAGUGGCCCUUCAAAAUGUGGUGGGGCUUUGGAAGCGAGCUUGAUUUAUGGUGGAUUUUCUGUCCAGUCCGAGCAUUUGAAUUUUUCGAUCUAUACCUUUUCCAAGUUUGUUCAUUAUUAGAGUUAAGGCAAAGAAAUCUUUGAGAUCAGCUUGGGGUCCUAGUUUAUGGUAGUUGGCUUCAUAGAAGAUUCAAUACACAAAUGGAAGAUAUGACUAAUGUUCAAGGAUAAAAGACAUACAUUAUGGGGCUGGUAGAGAAAGUUAAGUAUACCUAGGAGGAGAGGGAAAGCAGCUUUUUUGAGCUUUUGAUAAAUGAUACCUCUGCUGUUUUCAUGGCUGUUGGACAGCAGCCUGCUUUUUAUACAGUAUGGGUGUGUUUUGGUGAAAGGGAGAUGUACAGUUGUAGAUAUGAAUCUAGUGAAGCAAGAAUCACUCUCUCUCGCAUUCUUUGCUAGACACAGCCAGUGAUCAAAAAGUUGGACUUGGGUAGGGACUUGCUAAGUUCCCAAUCCCAUGAUCCUCCUGUCUGACUUGGGGAAUCAGACCGAAAAUUUAAUGAGAAAAAUCUAAAAAGCAUAAAAACUGGGGGAUUCGGGCGAUUCUAGAGUUUUUCGGCCUAGAAUCGCCUUGCUUGAAGGUCCAGUUCGACUUGGGCAAACCCAGAGUCUGAUCGGUGAUUUUCUAAACGCUCGAUAUAGCAAAUUGAUUCUCGUUGAUAACAGUAAGGGUUGGAAUCCCUUAUGCACAAAUGGAUGCAUAUAGAAUGAAUGUAACAUUCUAAAGGUAACAUACACUACACAUGUGCACAUAAAUAAAAUUACAUAAAUCCUUGUGAUAUGCAAUGAAAUAUACAAAAGGGAAAUAUAGAGUAUAUCAGCUAUUACUAAGGGAGAAAAAGUAGGGGUGUGAAAUUUGAAUUCUCCUGAUAACUUUUUUUUUUUUCUCCAGUAUUCCUGUGCUUUUUGUAGGAAAUCCUUCCAAAAAGUAAAUUAAGAAUUCCUUCCAAAAUUUGAAUUUCCAUAGCUCCAAUUCAAAGUUAAAAACAAGAAUCGCAAGCAAAAAUAGAACUAUGAAUCAAAACAAUUAAAUUCUAUGAAUCAAAACAAUUAAAUACUAAAAAAUAAAUAGAACUAUGAAUCAAAACAGUUAAAUACUUAUCUCGACGAUAUAAGUAAAUGCAUCACCAAAAAGAAAAUCUAACAAUAAUCAUAAUAAUAAGGAAAAAGGUUAAAUAUGAUAGACAAUUUAAAAUUGAAUAGAAAAUUAAAUAGGUGAAGGAAACGUAAUAGAUUAAAUUAGUAUUGAGAAUAAAUAUUUCUAAAAAUCCUUUUGUCUUUAAUUUCUCAGCUUGAGGAAUCAACCAAUGCACUUGCCAUUAUCUAGACAAGGAUUAAGCCACAGUAAUAUCAUCCAUUCUUUCCUAAUAUGGAUGAUGGAGAUUGAGAGUAGCUCCCGAUGGCAUUCAAUCACCUGGGUACAGUUAAUCUCCAUCAUCCGUCAUUGGCAAUUGACACUCUAUGUAUCCAUGGUGUAUAUAUUACAAUAUUUACCAUUGUUGUAGGGGUGUACUUCAACAUACAAAACAGAGUUACACAUGUUACACAGUAGUCCACUGAAACAACCAUGCAAAACCAUACUCCAUAUGGGUUGUAGCUUUUAACUGUCCAGUGAAAUGGAUGGUGGUGCAAAGAACAGAUACCACCAGUAUAGGGCAUGACUGCAGUGAUUCAUUCCCACUUUUUCCGGUCCAUUCCAUAUUGCAUUGGACCACAGUACACUCUCAUUCCAAAACAUCUUGACGUCAUGUAACUUUUCUCAUGUUGAGAGGAUAUGACCCUCUCUCUCUCUCUCUAUAUAUAUAUAUAUAUAUACGGGAAAAGAUGGGGAGCGCGACGUCGCAUAUAGGGGUCUCGUACGUCAAUGGUCACGAUGUUCCCCAUCUAAUCGGACGGUUCGCGUUGAGUCGUCUGAAAUUUAAACCCCUUGUGUCUCUCUCACUCUAUCGUGUAAGUCUCUCUCCCUCUCUCUCUCUAAGCACAUCAUCUCUCCCCCUGUUAUGCGGAUCAUCCCUCGGCAUCUCUCUCUAAGCACUCCCUCUCUCUCUCUCUACUGCUGUGCAUUCCUUUCUCUUACAUUUUCACCAACGUUGAAACUUCCUCUUUCUCACUCUCUCUAUUGCGGAUGAGCAACCGGGCAGCAGAUGGGACUGUAAAAUCAAUGGGACUGGAAGAAGAUGCACUUUGCAGCACAAACAUGGAUUAGCUGAGGAUUUUGAUAUUUCUCCCAUUUCAGGUAUGGAUACUACGCUUGCUGCUGCAUCCUUGUUUUUUUUUUAGAGUUAAUGAAAUGCCAUUGUCUCAGUGGAUUUUGAUGCUUGCAUUAUCAGCCAAACAUCGUGUAUAUGAGAUGCCAACAUUUGGGGGUUUUGGUUUUACAUACAUUGAUUGUGUUACACAGAGCAUUAUUUUUUUUUUUUUUUUUUUUUAUUGUAUUGUUUUUUUUAAGUUCCUUUAUCCAUAUUGAACAUGAAGCAUCUUGUAGUAAAUGAAAAUGUGGUCAUCUUCCUUUUUUUUUUUUAGAGUUAAGGAAAUGCCAUUGUCUCAGAGGAUUUUGAUUUGAAACGUAUUUGAUGCUUGCAUUAUCAGCUGAGAAUCAUGUAUAUGAAAACCCCCAAAUGUAGCCAAAAAAACAAUGUUGGCAUUUCAUAUACAUGGUUUUCAGCUGAUACUGCAAGCAUAAAUAUGUUUCAAAUCAAAAUUCACUAAGACAAUGGCAUUGCGUUAACUCUAAAAAAUAAAAUAGAGGAAGAUGGCCACAUUUUUAUUUACUGAAAAAUGCUUUAUGUUCAAUAUGGAUGAAGGAGCUUAAAAAAAAACAACAAAAAAAAAAAAAAUUGCUGUGUAACACAUUCAAUGUCUAUAAACUAAAACCCCCAAAUGUUGGUAUUUCAUAUAUACGGUUUUUUGUUGAUAAUGCAAGCAUCCAAAUCCACUGAGACAAUGGAUGCAAACAAGAAAUGGCGAAAAGUUUGGGAAAAUAUCAAAAUCCACUGAGACAAUGGCAUUUCAUUAACUUUUAAAAAAAGAAAACAACAAGCGUAUCCAUACCUGAAAUGGGGGAAAUAUCAAAUUCCUCAACUAAUGCGUGUUUGUGCUGCAAAGUGCAUCUUCCUCCAGUCCUAUUGAUUUUACAGGCCCAUCUGCUGCCCGGUUGCUCGUCUGCAGUAGAGAGAGGGAGUUUCAGCGUUGGCGAAAAUGUAAGAGAAAGGGAUGCACUGCAGUAGAGAGAGAGGGAAUGCUUAGAGAGAGAUGCGAGGGAUGAUCUGCAUAAUAUGGGGAGAGAUGGUGUGCUUAGAGAGAGACUUACACGAUGGAGUGAGAGAGACACAUGGGGUUUAAAUUUCAGACGACUCAACGCUAGCCGUCCGAUUAGAUGGGGAACAUCGUGACCUUUGGCGUACGAGACCCCUAUACGCGACGUCGAUAUAUAUAUAUAUAU
rnacentral:lncRNA from 1 species